CAAUAAAAUGAAAUUCACUAUUUAAAACACCAAGGAUAGAAGUUAGAAAAUAAAUAAUUGUAACUACUUAUUUUAUGUUUACUACUGAUUUAAAGGUUGUGAAAGAUUAAGGAAGUAGUAUUACUUCUUAAGAAGUCCACAGCAUUACUGCUUUAUUGGGAAGAGAUUUUUAUGCAUGAAAUAACUGGACAAUAUCAUGGAAUUUUAUGGAGGAAACUGUGUGUGCUGCAGCAAAUCAGAAAGAAGAAAGCCCUUGCCAAGUGUCAGCCGUGGUCCUUGGGAUGUACAUGAAUUAUCUAGUGUUGCUCUCAUAACGGAAGAGUAUAGGCUAUUUCUUGUUUAUGGGUGAGGACCCUGAGUGUCUAGGGGUUAACAAAGAGUAAACAGUAAAGCAAGGUCACAUAGAUAGUCAUAAAAUAUCUCUUACUUACUUAAAAAUAUCAACUGGCAUCAUAUUUUCUACCAGUUUAAGUCUAAACCAUUUAGCCAGGUAAUCAAGACUCUGCUGAAGGAUGUGAUGGAUGCCAGAUGAUCCAUAUUCUAUGCAUGGAUCUGUUAGUAACUGCAUUUUAGUUAGUUUUCUCUUUAAUUAAGGUAGAAUUCAUGUAACCUCAAAUUAAAGUGAACAAUUCAGUGACAUUUAUCACACUCAAAAUGUUAUGGAACCGUCACUUCUAACUUGAUCCAAAACACCGUGAUCAUCCUCAAAUAAUAUCCCAUAUUCAUUAAACAGUUACUCCCCCACUCCUUCCUUUUCCCCAUCCCAGACAAUUACCAAUUUAUUUUCUAUUUCUAUAGAUGUUCUUAUUAUGUUUUUUUAAUAUAAAAGGAAUCAUACAAUAUGAUUUUUUUUUUUUGUCUUUUUGCCAUUUCUUGGGCCACUCCCACAGCAUAUGGAGGUUCCCAGGCUAGGGGUCUAAUCGGAGCUGUAGCUGCCAGGCUGCACCACAGCCAUAGCAAUGCAGGAUCCAAGCCACGUCUGCGACCUACACCACAGCUCACGGCAACGCCGGAUCAUUAACCCACUGAGCAAGGGCAGGGAUAGAACCCGCAACCUCAUGAUUCCUAGUCAGAUUCGUUAACCACUGCGCCACGACGGGAACUCCCAAUAUGUGAUUUCUGUGUCUGGCUUCCUUCACUUGGCAUAAUGUUUUCAAAGUUCAUUCAUGUUGUAGUAUAUAUCAGUACUUUAUUGCUUUUUGCGGCUUAAUAAUAUUCCAUUGUGUUAUGUGAUACACACACACACACACACACACACACACACACACACACACACACACCACAAUCUGAUUAUUCAUUUAUCCAUUUAUGGACACUUGCAUUGUUUGUACCUUUCCAAAUAACUGGGUAUGUGGCUUCUGAGCAAGGUUCAUUUCUUCAUAUUAUUCAUUUUAGAACUGUCAGAGGAAAACAAAUUUCUGUCUCCAUUAUAUCCAAAACCCAUAAAACUCAGAUUAACUUUCCUUUGUCACAAGAUUAUCCUCGAACCAAUCAUUUUCCUAGUAUGUUGGCGGUCUAUGUCUGGCCCAGUGGAGGUUUCAUGUCAAUCCCUGAGGCUAGGAUGGAGAAGGACGCUAUAAUUGACAGUACACCAGGAACAACAUAAAACCAGGGUAAAGGAAGCUAGUCCUCAAAAAUAGAGUUGCUAAAUGAACAAAGCCAACAGUAUUCUACUGCUUUAAGAUUGACGUUGACUUUUUGCUUCAUCUAGAAUCAGACCUAGCUUACUCCAGAUAUUUUGACUACUGAGAUUGUAUCAGUCUCCUUCUUUGCUAUCUGGCCACCAUUAUCAGAGCUAGAACCUAACAGAAAAUAAUUCUAAAGUAUAAAGGGAUAAAGUGAUAAAGACAAUUUUAUUCUUGCUUCAGAUGUCUUCAGGGUAGUUAACGAGUGAUCAUACAAUGGAGAAAUAUGACUUAGGGGAAAGAUGUUUAACCUAUAAAUAAAUAGAGUAGCUCUUAAAUAAGUCACUGUGCUUCCCUAAACUUAGGAAGAAAUUUUCCUUGUCCAUAUUUUCAGCAAACACUAAACAGAGCUUUACAGACAAAUAGAGGCAACUCUGAGUAGUCCCUGAACUCACUGGUUUGUAGUUAGCAUGGUAAUUAGCAUGGUUAGCAUGGCAUUUCUUGGAGGUUUUUUUUUUUUUUCCCUUGGAUGCUUACAAUACUCUUUUGUUAAUGGUAAAAUUCAGACAUUUUAUGUAGAUAUAUCUAUGUAUUUGUACCUCUUUUCCCAUAGUUUAUUUUAAUAUAAGAGGAUCUUCACCUGAGGUUCAUAAAUUACAUUUUUUGAGAAUCCAUGAACUUUGAAAUGUUAUGCAAAAUUUUAAGUGUUGUAGUCUUUCCUGGGAAAAGGUUUAUGCUUUUCAUUAUAUUAUAAAAUGAGUGCUUUGUCAUAUUUCUCUACAUUAUGAGAAAAAUUCUGACUUUUCUUCCAAAUAGCAGAAACAUUUUACAGUACUGUUGCUAGUAUUUUUAAAAUAUUGUGGUUGUAUUUUUAAUUUAUUUAAAACUUUAUAUCUCAACCAACUUACUUUUUUUUUGAUUCCUGCCUACAUUGCAUUAUGUUCCUUUUGAUUUUCUGAAGGAGGUUGACAAGAUGGCAGAGUAGAAAUAUACUGGGCUUGCUUCCUCCCACAGACACACCUAAACGACAGCUACACAUAAAAGCUACUUUCUGAGAAGAUCUAAAGAUGGUAGAAAAGAUUUUCUAUAACUAAGGAUGAAAAAAAAAAAAACCCACUUUGAGACAUUUGGGUGGGGUAGAGAUGUGAACUGGAUGGGAUAAACAACCUUGCUGUGGCAACCCACAUUCAGAAGACUGUUACAACCAUGGAGGUCCUCUCUGGGGAGUGACAGGGUCUGAACCCCAAAUCAGCAUUCCCAGCCAAGGGUACCUGCAUAAGGAAGAUGAUCCUCCUCAAUAUCUGGCUUUUAAAACCAGCGAGGCUUUUGUCCAGAAGAGCCAGUGGGCUAUAGGAAGCAAGGCCCUGUUCUUAAAGGGUGGGUGCCAAAACACGCUUACGUGGAGUCCCAGUGCAGAGGCAGCAGUUUGAAAAAUGUGUGGGUCAUAUGUGUAGGAGAUUCAUUGAUUUCGGGGAAUGUGCUAGAGAGACAGGGAUUUGUUGGAUCUUUCUCCAGGUACAGAGGUGCUGAUGUGCACUAGAUUUUUUUUUUUUUUCUGCCUAACUGGUCCAGUGUUGGUGGGCAUCAUUCCUGAUAUACCCCAUCUAUGCUAUCAGGACUGAUUGUUUGCAUCAGACUCACCAGCUGGUGAUCUUUCAAAGUGGCUACCCAGUUCUCCACUUCUAGUGGGCAUCCCUGGUCAACGUUAAAAUGCCUUCAAAGCAGCCCCUCCCCCACCACACGUGGCAGGCACUCUCAGCCAUCAGUGGAGCCCCUCCAGUGCUUAUUCCUGCCUCACCAAACCUGAUGGAUGCACUUAGCUGUCAGUACCCUGUGAAAGCAAUUCCUGCCCUGGGUGGGGGGGCAGUCCUGCAUACUAGAGCAUGUGCAACAGUUAUGGCCAGGACUUAUUAGCAGGCACAUCACUAACCAAACCAGCACACUAUCACACUGAGAGCAAGCAUAGCCCAGUUACAGCAGGAGGGUGCAUGUAGCCCACUGAAGGGACUCUCCUGGAGCACCUGGUUCUUACAUUCAGGGGUAAUUGUGCUACUGGGCUCCAUAGGACAUCUUCUACAUAGAGCUACUCCUUCAAAACUGGAAUAUAUAGCUGAUCUACGUAACACAUAGAAACAGAGAGGCAAAAUGGCAAAACAAAGGAGUAUGUUCUAAAUGAAGGAAUGAGACAAAAACCUCAGAAAAAGAACUACCUGAAAUAUAGAUAAGUAAUCUACCAGAUAUAGAGUUCAAAAUAAUGGUCAUAAAAAUACUCACUAAACUCAGGAGAACAAUGGAGAAACAUGGUGAGAAUUU
rnacentral:lncRNA from 1 species